GCGUAGGAUUAGCUAGUUGGUGAGGUAAAGGCUCACCAAGGCGACGAUCCUUAGCUGGUCUGAGAGGAUGAUCAGCCACACUGGGACUGAGACACGGCCCAGACUCCUACGGGAGGCAGCAUGGGAAUAUUGGACAAUGGGCGAAAGCCUGAUCCAGCAAUGCCGCGUGAGUGAUGAAGGCCUUAGGGUUGUAAAGCUCUUUUACCCGGGAUGAUAAUGACAGUACCGGGAGAAUAAGCUCCGGCUAACUCCGUG
rnacentral:rRNA from 1 species